rnacentral:rRNA from 1 species
UACGGGGGGUGCAAACGUUGCUCGGAAUUAUUGGGCGUAAAGCGCACGUAGGCGGUCCUGUAAGUCGGGUGUGAAAGCCCCAGGCUUAACCUGGGAAGUGCACUCGAAACUGCAGGGCUUGAGUACGGAAGAGGGUCUCGGAAUUCCCGGUGUAGAGGUGAAAUUCGUAGAUAUCGGGAGGAACACCAGUGGCGAAGGCGGAGACCUGGGCCGAUACUGACGCUGAGGUGCGAAAGCGUGGGGAGCAAACAGG